rnacentral:hammerhead_ribozyme from 1 species
AUCCAGCUGAAGAGUCCCAAAUAGGAUGAUAUGCGCAUCCUAGUGGAU